rnacentral:tRNA from 3 species
UGCCGAAUGGUGUAAUUGGUAGCACGCCAGAUUCUGAUUCUGGAAGUCGGGGUUCAAGUCCCUGUUCGGCAACCA